rnacentral:rRNA from 1 species
GCGUGAGCGAUGACGGCCUUAGGGUUGUAAAGCUCUUUCAACGGUGACGAUAAUGACGGUAGCCGUAGAAGAAGUCCCGGCUAACUCCGUGCCAGCAGCCGCGGUAAUACGGAGGGGACUAGCGUUGUUCGGAAUUACUGGGCGUAAAGCGCGCGUAGGCGGAUCGUUAAGUCGGGGGUGAAAUCCCGGGGCUCAACCCCGGAACUGCCUUCGAUACUGGCGAUCUAGAGGUCAAGAGAGGCGAGUGGAAUUCCGAGUGUAGAGGUGAAAUUCGU